rnacentral:rRNA from 1 species
UGGGCGCAAGCCUGAUCCAGCCAUGCCGCGUGAGUGAUGAAGGCCUUAGGGUCGUAAAGCUCUUUCGCACAGAGAUGAUAAUGACAGUAUCUGGUAAAGAAACCCCGGCUAACUCCGUGCCAGCAGCCGCGGUAAUACGGAGGGGGUUAGCGUUGUUCGGAAUUACUGGGCGUAAAGCGCACGUAGGCGGAUCAGAAAGUAUARGGUGAAAUCCCAGGGCUCAACCCUGGAACUGCCUUGUAAACUCCUGGUCUUGAGUUCGAGAGAGGUGAGUGGAAUUCCGAGUGUAGAGGUGAAAUU